GAUGAACGCUGGCGGCGUGCCUAACACAUGCAAGUCGAACGAGAUGCGUAUCGGAAAGCUUCGGCCGGAAGAUACGUUAUCUAGUGGCGGACGGGUGAGUAACACGUGGGUAACCUGCCUUAUGGAGGGGGAUAACAGAGAGAAAUCACUGCUAAUACCGCAUAAGCACACAGUACCGCAUGGUACAGGGUGAAAAGAUUUAUCACCAUAAGAUGGACCCGCGUCUGAUUAGCCAGUUGGCAGGGUAAAAGCCUACCAAAGCAACGAUCAGUAGCCGAUCUGAGAGGAUGACCGGCCACAUUGGGACUGAGACACGGCCCAAACUCCUACGGGAGGCAGCAGUGGGGAAUAUUGCACAAUGGGGGAAACCCUGAUGCAGCGACGCCGCGUGAGUGAAGAAGUAUUUCGGUAUGUAAAGCUCUAUCAGCAGGGAAGAUAAUGACAGUACCUGACUAAGAAGCCCCGGCUAGCUACGUGCCAGCAGCCGCGGUAAUACGUAGGGGGCAAGCGUUAUCCGGAUUUACUGGGUGUAAAGGGAGCGUAGACGGAGUGGCAAGUCUGAAGUGAAAACCCUGGGCUUAACCUGGGGACUGCUUUGGAAACUGUUAAUCUAGAGUGUUGGAGAGGGUAAGUGGAAUUCCUGGUGUAGCGGUGAAAUGCGUAGAUAUGAGGAGGAACACCGGAUGCGAAGGCGGCUUACUGGACAAUAACUGACGUUGAGGCUCGAAGCGUGGUGAUCAACAGG
rnacentral:rRNA from 1 species